rnacentral:lncRNA from 1 species
AUGUGUGGCCUAGGGCGCCUGUCCAGGUGUGGCCCAGGGCGUGGCCCAGGUGUGGCCCAGGGCGCCUGUUCAGGUAUGGCCCAGGUGUGGUCCAGGGCGCCUGUCCAGGUGUGGCCCAGGGCGUGGCCCACGUGUGGCUCAGGGCACCCGUCCAGGUGGCCGUGGCUGAGCUGGGGGUGGCUGCUGCUUACAUCCUGGGUGCUGCCCAGAGGCGUGGGAUGGUAUCGAGGCGACAGCCGAGCUCAGCGGGCACUGGGCUGUGGGCACCACGCAGCGUGGGCGCCCCUGUCCUGCUGUGGAGCUGCUGCAGGGGUGCAGGGGGCCCACCCUCAGCGGCAGGGGCUCAGCUACAGGCAGGAGCCAGGCUCGCCACGCCCAGGACGGGAACACUGCCACCCACAGUCCCGCCCACCCACACUUGUCACCACCCCCCUCCUCCGGAAUGCAGGCGGGCACGUUGCCCAGGCAACCAGAACCCAGCGCUGCUCCCCGAGCGUCUCCCGCUGGCACCUGGAAGUCGGCCGAGUGGCAGCCUCCGAGCCCCAGCGUUGCUGCGGGACCCCUGCAGCAGAGCCCCCCGGGAUGGGGUCGGAGGGCACCCCGACACCAUAUUGUUCCCAGGACACCCCUGCAAUGUGGGUACCUGCGGUCACCCCAUUUCAGGUGGGGGAACCGAGGCACAGAGCUGCUACGCAGACUGCCCAAAGCUCUCGCCGCCCAGGUGCCAGGGCCAGAGGGAGGAGCCUGUGGACCCCCAGGCCUCAGCACUUCUGGCCUGCGCGAAUCAGUACAAAGAGCUGUGCUGUCCGUGAGCCUCGUCCUCUGUCUGCCCAGGCCCGGGAGGGGUGGGCGAUGCAGGUGUGGCGGUGUCUCCCGGCUCAGCCCCCUGGACGUCUGGGGCUGAGUGCGGCUGUGGGCGCCAUAGCCUGUUUCCCAGCACCCCUCUCUCCAUUGCUAAUUGCAGCAGCACCUCGGGUGGCGCUGACCCAGUGGGUGUCCCGGCAUUGCCAACUGUCCCUGGGGCCAGAUCGUCCCCAGACGAGGAUGAGUGAUGGCACUGUAGGAUGCCAGGUUGUGACCUUGUAUGGGAAGGGGUGGCCUGUGGGGCCACCGGGCCAGGAGGCUGUGCAGGUGUGGGGCACCCCCCGCUCCUCCCACUGGUGCAGAGCUGAGGGACUCCUCUGCAGUGAGUCACCCCUGUUACAGGAGGCAGAACCGCGAGGUUUGCUUUGCAGCCGCUGA